CCUACGGGUGGCAGCAGUGAGGAAUAUUGGUCAAUGGACGAGAGUCUGAACCAGCCAAGUAGCGUGAAGGAUGACUGCCCUAUGGGUUGUAAACUUCUUUUAUAUGGGAAUAAAAUGUUCCACGUGUGGGAUUUUGUAUGUACCAUAUGAAUAAGGAUCGGCUAACUCCGUUCCAGCAGCCGCGGUAAUACGGAGGAUCCGAUCGUUAUCCGGAUUUAUUGGGUUUAAAGGGAGCGUAGGUGGAUUGUUAAGUCAGUUGUGAAAGUUUGCGGCUCAACCGUAAAAUUGCAGUUGAAACUGGCAGUCUUGAGUACAGUAGAGGUGGGCGGAAUUCGUGGUGUAGCGGUGAAAUGCUUAGAUAUCACGAAGAACUCCGAUUGCGAAGGCAGUUCACUGGACUGCAACUGACACUGAGGCUCGAAAGUGUGGGUAUCAAACAGGAUUAGAUACCCCUGUAGUC
rnacentral:rRNA from 1 species